rnacentral:lncRNA from 1 species
GCCGUGCAAUUUUUAUCAAUAGAUUUUUCUAUUGCAAACAAUGUUAAGAAGAACCCUGGACAUCUCAAGUUUAUUAUUAAUGGAUUAACGGUUUUUUGGUUAGGCUCGAACCUAGAAUGCUUUGGCAUAAAUCUUAUUUUUCAAGAUUUAAUAUUAUUAAUCCAUAUGGUUGUAAGGGCAUAAGAUUUUUCUAAAAUAAAAAGUUUAAUCAUUAAAUCAUGUGAUGAUUUAAAGAAAAAAGAAGGCCAU